UCGAGAAUUUUUCUCAAUGGGGGAAACCCUGAAGGAGCGACGCCGCGUGGAGGAUGAAGGUCUUCGGAUUGUAAACUCCUGUCAUUAGGGAACAAGUGCCGGCAAUUAACUACUGCCGGCUUGAUAGUACCUGAAGAGGAAGAGACGGCUAACUCUGUGCCAGCAGCCGCGGUAAUACAGAGGUCUCAAGCGUUGUUCGGAUUCAUUGGGCGUAAAGGGUGCGUAGGUGGCGCCGUAAGUCAGGUGUGAAAUCUCGGGGCUCAACCCCGAAACUGCACUUGAUACUGCGGUGCUCGAGUACUGGAGAGGAGAUUGGAAUUUACGGUGUAGCAGUGAAAUGCGUAGAUAUCGUAAGGAAGACCAGUGGCGAAGGCGAAUCUCUGGACAGUUACUGACACUGAGGCACGAAGGCCAGGGGAGCAAACGGGAUUAGAUACCCCCGUAGUCC
rnacentral:rRNA from 1 species